AGACGCCAUUCGCCAGCUAAAGUCCUGGGCGCCCAUUGGUCGGAAUUAGAGAUGGGCGGGGAUUCUUGGCUUCUCAUUGGCUGCGCGGCACGCCAGGCUGUAGCUGCAACCGCCCCUUUGGGAGCCUGGCGGAACUAAGUGCCGAGGGAUGCCAGCGGGAGAGCAGGCAGCCACUGUGCCUCUUUGGGCGUAUCACCGAGGCGUUCACUGGUUCAGAGGCCCUGACCAGAGGCGAGGGCACAGCUUCCGCCUCCAUUGGUAUGCCCUCGGAAUUAUUCCCUGCCCCCAGCCCGCCUUAGUUUUUGUCUUUUUUAAAUAAGGCCUUUGGAGAGGGCCCCAGUCUCCUACUUGUAACCUUCCUCCUUGUUGCUGGGAACAAAUGCCUAGAGACACUCUGCUCAGAGACCUUGGAGAGAGUCCCUAAGGGACUAAUACUGCGUCCAAACUAAAGCUGGCGAAUCGAAGAUAGGAAUGGAGAUGAAAGAAAGAUAGAAACACCAAUGACAGAAUCAUUGAUCAGCUGCCUCCUGCAUGCCCCCUACUGGAGACUGAGCCUGCGACCAAGGGCAUGUGCCCUGACUGGAACCGAACCAUGACUUCGCAGUUCACAGGUAGACACUCAACCACUGAGCCACACCGGCGGGUCAGCUUGUUACCCAUGACCUCCCUCCGGCCUGGGACCUCCCUGGGAAAUGGUGCAGAGUCCGCACCUCAGACCCGUGUUCUAGAAGACAAACGUGUGGAACGACCAGGCUCGGUGGUUGGCUCAGGAUCACACAGUGAAGGGCUGUGGGUUGAAGCUGAAAAUAAGCCCUAAGCUUGUCACUCAUCGCAGCCUUCCCGCAGCAGGAGGGGGCAAGCUGCCUCUGCCCUGCAGGCUGAGGAGGGGCGC